rnacentral:rRNA from 1 species
AACGAACGCUGGCGGCAGGCUUAACACAUGCAAGUCGAACGCCCCGCAAGGCGAGUGGCAGACGGGUGAGUAACGCGUGGGAAUCUACCCAGUUCUACGGAAUAACCCAGGGAAACUUGGACUAAUACCGUAUACGCCCUACGGGGGAAAGAUUUAUCGGAAUUGGAUGAGCCCGCGUUGGAUUAGCUAGUUGGUGGGGUAAUGGCCUACCAAGGCGACGAUCCAUAGCUGGUCUGAGAGGAUGAUCAGCCACACUGGGACUGAGACACGGCCCAGACUCCUACGGGAGGCAGCAGUGGGGAAUAUUGGACAAUGGGCGAAAGCCUGACGCAGCCAUGCCGCGUGGAUGAUGAAGGUCUUAGGAUUGUAAAAUCCUUUCACCGGUGAAGAUAAUGACUGUAGCCGGAGAAGAAGCCCCGGCUAACUUCGUGCCAGCAGCCGCCGUAAUAC